UCUGUGACGGGAACCGACGUUCACGGAGAAAACAAGGCCGGGGUGGGCAUCCUGGAUUACGUCGCGGGGCAUCCUGAACAUCAUCCGGUAGAGAGCUUCAAGUCCGAGGAUUAGUAGGAGACCUCGAGAAUUAUGAGUUGAUCAUCAUCAGUGAUGUGACACUUUCACAUAGGUAGAGCCACUUUGUCUGCUUGAACCAUUAUAUCAGACACUGACAAGGUUCUUGAUUGAUCAACAUCGAGCCGUUCCAACUCCUCCUUCACAAGAGAGAUGUCAUCUUUGGUAAUCUUCCCCAUAUCUUGAAGCAUAUAUAGGAUGAACUCAGCAGUCCUGUGGAAAAAAGGAUUUGAUUUGUAAGAUAAGUUCUUAUUUUACAAAUAAAUUCUAAUCGUAUUAGCGAUAUGGGAGAGUAUGUCCUCUACAAUGACUUGCAGGACUAAUCCAACCAGUGCCAGUCCUGUGAAGGCAAAAACGCAGGCCAGUAGUUUUGUGACGACACUGUCAGGCACAAGGUCUCCAUAUCCGACAGUGGCCAUUGUUACAAUACAGAAGUAGACAGUGUCAAUAAUUGCAUUUGUUUUCUCUCCUUUCAUCUGGGGCCUCAGGUUAUAGAAGCACAAUGUUCCCACUACUAUAUAUACGGCCAAGAAUAUGGCUACAUGCAUUAGAUCAGGGUCUAUUUUCUCAAUGAUGGAUUUACACGGCCUAGUAGGAGCACUACCAAUUGUUGUCUGCAUGGAGAAAGAAGAACGAGCAGGAACAGAGCGUUUACCACGCUGAUAUCGUCUUCUGUUACGAGUAUCUGUCAUGUUUGUUUGAGAUGUAGGAUUCACCAAUCCUGAUAGCGAAGACCCUUUCACUUUUGCA